GGGGCCAUAGCUCAGUUGGGAGAGCGCCUGCUUUGCAAGCAGGAGGUCAUCGGUUCGAUCCCGAUUGGCUCCACUA
rnacentral:tRNA from 1 species